UACGUAGGUGGCAAGCGUUGUCCGGAAUACUGGGCGUAAAGCGUGCGCAGGCGGCGCGUUAAGACAGGUGUGAAAGCCCCGAGCUUAACUUGGGAAUUGCGCUCGAAACUACGUGGCUGGAGUGUGGCAGAGGAAGGUGGAAUUCCACGUGUAGCGGUGAAAUGCGUAGAUAUGUGGAGGAACACCGAUGGCGAAGGCAGCCUUCUGGGCCAACACUGACGCUCAUGCACGAAAGCGUGGGGAACAAACAGG
rnacentral:rRNA from 1 species